rnacentral:rRNA from 1 species
GGUGAGAAGUCCGGUUUGCUCGAUUGAAGCCUGGACGUUCUCGGAUGCGAGUGCCCAGUGGGCCACUUUUGGUAAGCAGAACUGGCGCUGUGGGAUGAACCAAACGACGGGUUAAGGGGCCCGAUGCGGGACGCUCAUUAGAACCCAUGAAAGGUGUUGGUUGCUAUAGACAGCAGGACGGUGGCCAUGGAAGUCGGAACCCGCCAAGGAGUGUGUAACAACUCACCUGCCGAAGCAACUAGCCCUGAAAAUGGAUGGCGCUAAAGCGUCGACCCCACACCCGUCCGCCGCGGCGGAGAUGCGAUCGCAUUAUGCCGCGGCGAGUAGGAGGGCGCGGGGGCGUGCGUGGAAGGUGCCGGGCGUAAGCCCGCCUGGAGCCGCCCCCGGUGCAGAUCUUGGUGGUAGUAGCAAAUACUCAAGUGAGAACCUUGAGGACUGAGGUGGAGAAGGGUUCCAUGUGAACAGCAGUUGAACAUGGGUCAGUCGGUCCUAAGGGAUGUCCGAAAGGAUUUCCGAAGGGGGGACCUUGCAGGUCCCGCCCCAAGACCGAAAGGGAAUCGGGUUAAUAUUCCCGAACCCGGACACGGAGAUCGGUCCCUUCUGGGAAUCUUGCGGUAACGCAAGCGACCUCGGAAACGUCGACGGGGGUCCCGGGAAGAGUUGUCUUUUCUUUGUAAGGGUUCGGUUCCCUGGAAUCGGCUCGCCCGGAGAUAGGGAUGCUGAACCCGUAAAGCACCGCGCCUCUUGUGGUGUCCGGAGCGCUCCCGUCGGCCCUUGAAAAUCCGAGCGAGAGUUGGUGAUUUUCGUGCCGGUCCGUACCCAUAUCCGCAGCAGUC